AUAUCAAUAAGCGGAGGAAAAGAAACCAACAGGGAUUGCCUUCAGUAACGGCGAGUGAAGCGGCAACAGCUCAAAUUUGAAAUCUGGCUCUUUUCAGGGUCCGAGUUGUAAUUUGUAGAAGAUGCUUCGGGUGUGGCUCCGGUCUAAGUUCCUUGGAACAGGACGUCAUCAGAGGGUGAGAAUCCCGUACUGUGACCGGUGCUUCGCACCUAUGUGAAGCUCUUUCGACGAGUCGAGUUGUUUGGGAAUGCAGCUCAAAAUGGGUGGUAAAUUUCAUCUAAAGCUAAAUAUUGGCCAGAGACCGAUAGCGCACAAGUAGAGUGAUCGAAAGAUGAAAAGCACUUUGGAAAGAGAGUUAAACAGUAC
rnacentral:rRNA from 1 species